GUGAAGUCUGUGCAGCGUUGAUAUGCCCUGGCCCAGGUACUGGUGGAGCAGAACUUGCCAGCCAUUGCCAUACACUGUGAGACCCUUCAGGAGGAGAGUAGUUUAAAGGUCUUCAAUAUCGAAUUGUUGUGGCCAGCAACCUAUGUGGCCAAGGCAUGGACAUUAAGCAGGUGAACUCUGCCAUCGACUACCACCAGCCUGGCGAUUCCCACACCUACCUGCAUCGGGAGGCCUGAGCAGGCCAGUUCCCCCAAGGGCUUGGCCAUCACAUUUGUG